rnacentral:tRNA from 1 species
CAUUUAAUUCUUUUAUUAUAA